rnacentral:rRNA from 1 species
ACCAGCAGCCAUAUCACCCUGCAACUCACAGCUGGCCGUCCACUGGAGCUCAGCAGGUGGGAGCCUGGCCAGUACCUGGAUGGGAGACUCCUGGGAAAAACUAAGGCUGCUGCUGGAA